AAAAAAGGUAAGCUACUAAGAGCGAAUGGUGGAUGCCUUGACUGGUAAAGGCGAUGAAGGACGUACUAGACUGCGAUAAGCUACGGGGAGCUGUCAAGAAGCUUUGAUCCGUAGAUUUCCGAAUGGGGCAACCCAAUGUAUAGAGAUAUACAUUACCUAUAUAGGAGCGAACGAGGGGAAUUGAAACAUCUUAGUACCCUCAGGAAAAGAAAUCAAUAGAGAUUGCGUCAGUAGCGGCGAGCGAAAGCGCAAGAGGGCAAACCCAGUGCUUGCACUGGGGGUUGUAGGACUGCAAUGUGCAAGAGGUAAGUUUAGCAGAACAUUCUGGAAAGUAUAACCAUAGAGGGUGAUAGUCCCGUAUGCGAAAAACAAACCUUAGCUAGCAGUAUCCUGAGUAGGGCGGGACACGAGGAAUCCUGUCUGAAUCUGGGUCGACCACGAUCCAACCCUAAAUACUAAUACCAGAUCGAUAGUGCACAAGUACCGUGAGGGAAAGGUGAAAAGAACUGAGGUGAUCAGAGUGAAAUAGAACCUGAAACCAUUUGCUUACAAUCAUUCAGAGCCCUAUGUAGCAAUACAGGGUGAUGGACUGCCUUUUGCAUAAUGAGCCUGCGAGUUGUGGUGUCUGGCAAGGUUAAGCAAACGCGAAGCCGUAGCGAAAGCGAGUCUGAAUAGGGCGCUUAGUCAGAUGCUGCAGACCCGAAACGAAGUGAUCUAUCCAUGAGCAAGUUGAAGCUAGUGUAAGAACUAGUGGAGGACUGAACCCAUAGGCGUUGAAAAGCCCCGGGAUGACUUGUGGAUAGGGGUGAAAGGCCAAUCAAACUUCGUGAUAGCUGGUUCUCUCCGAAAUAUAUUUAGGUAUAGCGUUGUGUCGUAAUAUAAGGGGGUAGAGCACUGAAUGGGCUAGGGCAUACACCAAUGUACCAAACCCUAUCAAACUCCGAAUACCUUAUAUGUAAUCACAGCAGUCAGGCGGCGAGUGAUAAAAUCCGUCGUCAAGAGGGAAACAACCCAGACUACCAGCUAAGGUCCCUAAAUCUUACUUAAGUGGAAAACGAUGUGAAGUUACUUAAACAACCAGGAGGUUGGCUUAGAAGCAGCCAUCCUUUAAAGAAAGCGUAAUAGCUCACUGGUCUAGUGAUUUUGCGCGGAAAAUAUAACGGGGCUAAAGUAAGUACCGAAGCUGUAGACUUGCGCACAACUUAGAUUAUUUAAGUUUAGAAUAUGAGAAACUAAGUUAUAUGUUUAGUUAUAUUUUUACUGAUUUUUAUAGAGUAAAGAUAGAAAUAAAACUUAGUAAAAUCAGUAAAAAUAUUCUUAGACUAAAGUUAAGUAGUUUAAGUUGUGUGCAAGUGGUAGGAGAGCGUUCUAUUUGCGUCGAAGGUAUACCGGUAAGGAGUGCUGGAGCGAAUAGAAGUGAGCAUGCAGGCAUGAGUAGCGAUAAUUAAUGUGAGAAUCAUUAACGCCGUAAACCCAAGGUUUCCUACGCGAUGCUCGUCAUCGUAG
rnacentral:rRNA from 1 species